UAGCAUCUAAGUUUGAGUUUGGUUUGAAUUUAUGCCUGGCUUGAAUCGAAAAUUAAAUAAGUUCUAAACGUGUAGAAAGCUUAGCAAUUCCUUAUUUGGACCAGGGUUCGACUCCCUGCGGGUCCACAU
rnacentral:tmRNA from 1 species